AUUGAACGCUGGCGGCAGGCCUAACACAUGCAAGUCGAGCGGAUGAGGGAAGCUUGCUUCCCGAUUUAGCGGCGGACGGGUGCGUAAUGCCUAGGAAUCUGCCUAUUAGUGGGGGAUAACGUUCCGAAAGGAACGCUAAUACCGCAUACGUCCUACGGGAGAAAGUGGGGGAUCUUCGGACCUCACUCUAAUAGAUGAGCCUAGGUCGGAUUAGCUAGUUGGUGAGGUAACGGCUCACCAAGGCGACGAUCCGUAGCUGGUCUGAGAGGAUGAUCAGCCACACUGGAACUGAGACACGGUCCAGACUCCGACGGGAGGCAGCAGUGGGGAAUAUUGGACAAUGGGCGAAAGCCUGAUCCAGCCAUGCCGCGUGUGUGAAGAAGGUCUUCGGAUUGUAAAGCACUUUAAGUUGGGAGGAAGGGUUGUAAGCUAAUAUCUUGCAGCUUUGACGUUACCAACAGAAUAAGCACCGGCUAACUCUGUGCCAGCCGCCGCCGUAAGAC
rnacentral:rRNA from 1 species